AUUGACCGCUGGCGGCAGGCCUAACACAUGCAAGUCGAGCGGAGCGGCGGACGGGUGAGUAAUGCCUGGGAAUCUGCCUGGGCGUGGGGGAUAACGUCCGGAAAAGGGCGCUAAUACCGAAUACUAUCGGAUGAGCCUAGGUCGGAUUAGCUAGUUGGUGGGGUAAAGCCCUACCAAGGCGACGAACCGUAACUGGUCUGAGAGGAUGAUCAGUAACACUGGAACUGAGACACGGUCCAGACUCCUACGGGAGGCAGCAGUGGGGAAUAUUGGACAAUGGGCGAAAGCCUGAUCCAGCCAUGCCGCGUGUGUUAAGAAGGUCUUCGGAUUGUAAAGCACUUUAAGUUGGGAGGCGUUACUCGCAGAAGAAGCACCGGCUAACUCCGUGCCAGCAGCCGCGGUAAUAC
rnacentral:rRNA from 1 species